rnacentral:rRNA from 1 species
GACGAACGCUGGCGGCGUGCUUAACACAUGCAAGUCGAACGGACUACUAGUGAAAGCUUGCUGGAUCUGGUAGUUAGUGGCGGACGGGUGAGUAACACGUGAGAACCUAUCCCAACCCGGGGGACAACAGGUGGAAACGCCUGCUAAUACCCCAUAGGCGCAGAGAUGCGUGAAAGGAGCAAUCCGGGGGGGGAGGGGCUCGCGGCCUAUCAGCUAGUAGGUGGGGUAACGGCCUACCUAGGCGAUGACGGGUAGCCGGCCUGAGAGGGCGCACGGCCACACUGGAACUGAGACACGGUCCAGACUCCUACGGGAGGCAGCAGUGGGGAAUCUUGGGCAAUGGGGGCAACCCUGACCCAGCGACGCCGCGUGAGGGACGAAAUCCCUUGGGAUGUAAACCUCUGUUGUGCGGGACGAAGGACGUGACGGUACCGCACGAGGAAGCCCCGGCAAACUACGUG